GAAAGAUAGUACGCCCUGCUGGAGAACAGUUUUUGGAGUGUUGUCAUUGAUUCAGUAAUAUAGAAUUAAAUCCAUUGGGUGUGUGGUGUGUUAGAGAGGGGGAAAAGAAAGAGAGAGAAAAAGAAAAAGAGACAGAUAGAUUGAGAGAAUCUGCGUCUUCAGUUCACUGGCCAGUUACAUCCUGUCUCCAGCCAAAAGGGACUCCCCUGCUCCCCCCAGCAUUUCCACUUUUCCUGGUAUGACCUUAUUCAAGAGUGAACAUCGCGGCCAGAGACGUAUAAGCAUGGCUGGGGAACUCAAGACCAACAGACCCAAGGCUGGACAUAAGCGACCAGGCAGUACUGUGUACGGGAGCAGUUUUGACCUGGACUACGACUGUUACCAGGAUGACUUUUAUGACAGGGUGUAUGAUUACCAGCGGGUCCCAGCCUCCCUGCCUCCUGCCUCACGCGGCCCCUCCCUGCCCAAGCGGCCUCGGCAGUCGGACACAGCAUUCCGGAGGAGCAAAGAAAGUCUCUCAUCGAAGGGGAGGUCAAGCAGCUCCUCCAACAGAGCAAAAUUGAAGGCUGACGAGCUGCAGACCAUAAAGAGGGAGCUGACUCUGAUCAAGGUGCAGAUUGACGGCCUCCUGGAAAACCUGGACAGGAUGGACAGACAGAGGAAAGACCAGACAGAGCUGGACAGUAGUGCAGGGGGCUCUCCUUACCGGGCCUCAGCCAGCAGCCCCGAUGGAUCCCUGCCCAGCCCCAGCCAUCGGCGCCGGGGCCAGCGAGAGCGGGGGGAGAGCCCGGAGCUCGGAGAGGCCAGCGACGAGGACAACGACACGGUUAAUAACCACAGCUCAGACCAGGAGGACACCAUGUAAACACACAGAAAUCAGAUCUGGAGACCUUACUUUUGCAGUGGUCAGUUAUCUAGCAGCGCACAAAGGAACCCAGUAACUGAACAGAAGGAAAGUGAACAUCAUGCAUGGAGGUCCCUGCUUGCAGCGAGAGCUCAGGCUCUCAUCUACCGAACGGGUCUCCAAGGGGAAGAAUGAUUGUUAUAAAUUGCCUAUUCUGUGUAUUGAUUUUCACUGGUGAAUCUUUUUGGUUAUAAUCUGAUAGUCUGAGCACCUGACAAGGGGCCCCAUCCUUUUAAUGUUAAAAUGUGUUUAAGCAGCUUGGUAAACUGAUAACAGCUUUCAAUUUUUAAUCAAAUGCAGUUUAAUAGCAAAACGGUUUUAGCAGCUAAGUUAUUAUCGUAUGUACAGCUGACAGUGGAGGAUUUAACCACCACUGACUUUUAACUCUAUAAGCAUCUUAUUAGCACAAUCAAAAUACAGACGAAAGGGAAAUUUGAAAGUGCAGGUAUAAAGAUCUCUGCCACUGUUUAGAUUACAUUCAAAUACUGUAGACCCCUCUUACUGUAUGGUGUUAGAGUCUUGUCUGCACUUUGUAGAGAUUUCUCUCACAAAAAUUGUGCAUGAGAAGGAUCAGCUGUACAUAUUAACAACUUUUUAGUUAAGCAGGAAAAAUAUAUUUUCUUAACAAUUAUAAUAGCAUCCCACAAGAAUUUUACAGCUGAAAAAUGCUUUGUCUAGAAUUUUGGGGUAGUUUUUUUUUGGUUAGAAAAUAAGAUAUACUGGAAUGUUUUUGAAGACGGUGCUUUGAUUAACUGGUUAAUUCUUGUAGUAAAUUGCUAUACAAUUAUAACAAGUAUUUGAAUACGUCGACCCUAAAUAUUGUAUGUUUUUUAGCAGCCAUUCCAAGUGGUUCUGGGUUCUGUUGCUUCAAUGUUGAGUUAGGAUUCUCCAGACAAGCUCAAAGCAAGGUCAAAGCCAGGCCAAAGCAAGGUCAAAACAGGUCAAAACAGAUUUAGAGAACACUGGAGAACCAGAAACGGAACCACUCAGAAUUACUGCACACACCAUAAUAUAGUAAGGCAAAUAAAAAAAAAAAAGACAUUUGAAUCGACUUAUAUUGUAAGUAUCUACAUCAAAUGUAGUUUUUAUGCCAUUUUAUUAAUGGAGUCUGGAGUAAAUGCUUUGAAAAUGUACCAGGAUUUAAAUAUACAACAUACUGCCCAUAUCAUUUGGAGUUUUUGCAGAGGAAAUUUCUAGAAGGUAGGGCAGCAAACAGCAAGAGAAGAGAACACUGCAUUUCCCUUCCAACGGCAGUAUGAGAGUGUAGUUCUGAGCUCUACAAAGAGUAAGCACUGGGAGGUCCUUGGACGAUUCUAUAUAUAGUCUUCUGGCCUGAUUGUAUUGGCUUUGCUGGGGUGAAGUGUAAUAAUAUUCCGAAAUAUUGUAAACGUUCUUGUAUCUGUAGGCACUACCGUACCUGAUUUUAUUAUUGUUGUUCUGUUUUUGUAUUUAUUUAUUUUUAUUUUAUUCACAGUGAUUUGGUAGAUUUUCAUUUUUUUUGUGUGUUCAUGAAAUGCUGAAUGCGGUUAGUAAAGCUAUUUUCUUAUUGAUUA